GCCGUUGCCUCAGGGCGGUGCUGCGAGCCGCCUCUGGCUCUGCCCCUGCUGUUGUGUUCGUGCGGGCCCUCUGCCUGCGGGUUUUGUAUUUAUUUAAGUAGCUGCGGUGGAAAGUCUACCGGUGUAACUGUUCUUCUGUGGGAGCGGCACUAAUGUACGCGCGGCAUCUUUACGCCGGCGAGCUGAGCGCACGAAUCCAGUUCAGGAAUGUGCUCUGAACCGACUUGAUGGAAAUUAUGGCUUCAAAUACAUAAGUGACAGAAAGCCCUCUGAAUCUGACAACUACUGGGAAAUCUGAAGAAAAUUCAGUUUCAGCCUCCCUCCUGGAGGUGACAUUCACUCAUACGUUUACACAAAUGGAAACAUGGCA
rnacentral:lncRNA from 1 species